rnacentral:snoRNA from 1 species
UGAUGAUAAAAAACUAAAAAUAUUAUACGACAUCGAAAACAAACAAAACCUUGAUAUACCAUGAUAUCUAUAAUGAUAGGACUGAGAAC